GAGUUUGAUCAUGGCUCAGAUUGAACGCUGGUGGCAUGCUUAACACAUGCAAGUCGAACGGCAGCAUGCGGAAUCUUCGGAUUCUGUGAUGGCGAGUGGCGGACGGGUGAGUAACGCGUAGGAAUCUACCUAGAAGUGGGGGACAACCAGGGGAAACUCUGGCUAAUACCGCAUAAUCUCUAUGGAGAAAAGCCGGGGACCUUCGGGCCUGGUGCUUUUAGAUGAGCCUGCGUCAGAUUAGCUUGUUGGUGGGGUAAAGGCCUACCAAGGCGACGAUCUGUAGCUGGUCUGAGAGGACGAUCAGCCACACUGGGACUGAGACACGGCCCAGACUCCUACGGGAGGCAGCAGUGGGGAAUAUUGGACAAUGGGGGCAACCCUGAUCCAGCAAUGCCGCGUGUGUGAAGAAGGCCUUCGGGUUGUAAAGCACUUUCAGUAGCGAAGAAGAUGAUUGGAUUAAUACCUCGAUUAUUUGACGUUAACUACAGAAGAAGCACCGGCUAACUCUGUGCCAGCAGCCGCGGUAAGACAGAGGGUGCGAGCGUUAAUCGGAAUUACUGGGCGUAAAGCGUACGUAGGCGGAUACUUAAGUCAGAUGUGAAAUCCCCGAGCUCAACUUGGGAACUGCAUUUGAUACUGGGUAUCUAGAGUAUGGUAGAGGAAAGUGGAAUUUCCGGUGUAGCGGUGAAACGCGUAGAUAUCGGAAGGAACAUCAGUGGCGAA
rnacentral:rRNA from 1 species